rnacentral:rRNA from 1 species
CCUACGGGUGGCAGCAGUGGGGAAUAUUGCGCAAUGGGCGAAAGCCUGACGCAGCGACGCCGCGUGAGGGAUGAAGGUCUUCGGAGCGUAAACCUCUGUCAGCAGGGAAGAACGGUCACUGUGCUAAUCAGCAGUGAAUUGACUGUACCUGCAAAGGAAGCACCGGCUAACUCCGUGCCACCAGCCGCGGUAAUACGGAGGGGGCGAGCGUUAAUCGGAUUUACUGGGUGUAAAGCGCUCGUAGGCGGUAUGUCAAGUCAAGGGUGAAAUCCCCGCGCGCAACGUGGGAACUGCCUUUGAAACUGGCAGACUGGAGUGCGUGCGAGGAUAGUGGAAUUCCAGGUGUAGGAGUGAAAUCCGUAGAUAUCUGGAGGAACACCGGUGGCGAAGGCAGCUAUCUGGAACAUAACUGACGCUGAGGAGCGAAAGCGUGGGUAGCAAACAGGAUUAGAUACCCGUGUAGUC